ACUCCUACGGGAGGCAGCAGUGGGGAAUAUUGGACAAUGGGGGGAACCCUGAUCCAGCCAUGCCGCGUGUGUGAAGAAGGCCUUAUGGUUGUAAAGCACUUUAAGCGAGGAGGAGGCUACUUUAGUUAAUACCUAGAGAUAGUGGACGUUACUCGCAGAAUAAGCACCGGCUAACUCUGUGCCAGCGACNGCGGUAAU
rnacentral:rRNA from 1 species